rnacentral:rRNA from 1 species
CUCUUUUUGUUUAUAUAAAAAGUAUAACCUGCCCACUGAAUUUAUUUUUUUUGAAGGGCCGCGGUAUUUUGACCGUGCAAAGGUAGCAUAAUCAUUAGUCUUUUAAUUGGAGGCUGGAAUGAAUGGUUGGACGAGAUAUAAUCUGUCUUUUGGUUUAGUUUAGAAUUUAAUUUUUAAGUAAAAAGGCUUAAAUUUAAUUAUGGGACGAGAAGACCCUAUAGAGUUUAAAAUUUUAAUUUUUAAGGAUGGUUUGAUUAUUAGUUUAUUAAUUAAUAUUUUUUGUUGGGGUGAUGGAAAGAUAAUUUAAACUCUUUUUAUUUUUAAAUAUUUAUUUAUAGAAUUUUGAUCCAUUAUUAUUGAUUAUAAGACUAAAUUACCUUAGGGAUAACAGCGUAAUUCUUUUUGAGAGUUCAAAUCGACAAAAGUGAUUGCGA